UGCCUAUGAUUCAUAUUGUAUAAGAGUAGUGGACAGAAGUGAUUUCUGAUAAUUUUUACGCUGAGGCA